AGAGGCAUCACCAGCUCCUGAUGUCAGGGCCAGGCCCUGAGGUAGACUUUUAAUUCUUUCAGGGGAAAAAAAAAAUGUGUGAGAGACUAGGCAAGAAGCCAGGACAUCUCUUGCCACCACAGAGCUAGAAGAAGCCUGAUCUUGGACAGCUGGAGGAAGCUGGAAAUACCCGGGAAUGGAUCCCAACCUAACUGGGUUCCUCUGUCAAUGAGUCCAUCUGGUUUGGAAUAAACCCGGACGCAGAGUUUAAACAGCAGGGCUUCCCGGUGGGCUGCAGUAAAGGCUGGACUGCACUUGAAACCCGCCUCACUCUUUUCCACAUUCUGGACCCGCACCUGCGAGUUGCCCUUUGGAAGUAUUGCCUCGAUAUGGUGUCCUUGUCUCCUCAUCUCAAGAUCGUUCCCUAGAGACCCAGCAUCAGACAAGGGAACCUGAGUUCUAAGUGGAUGGACAGUUUUCCCUGAAUUGGAUCCUCAAGACCAAUGACAUGGAAUGAUCGCUGGAGAACCCAGAGUGAAGGUUGCCUUCUAGAACUCUGUUACCUUGUCUCUGUCCCUGUCUAAAUAGCAAUGUCAUUUGAACCCUUGGCUCUCUUCCUGACUAAAUAAAGAUUGCCUUUCUGUCU
rnacentral:lncRNA from 1 species